ACUCAAAGGAAUAGACGGGGGCCCGCACAAGCGGUGGAGCAUGUGGAUUAAUUCGAUGCAACGCGAAGAACCUUACCAAGGCUUGACAUGGAGACGACAGGUGUAGAGAUACACCCUUCUUCGGACGUCUCACACAGGUGGUGCAUGGUUGUCGUCAGCUCGUGUCGUGAGAUGUUGGGUUAAGUCCCGCAACGAGCGCAACCCUUAUCUUCAGUUGCCAGCAAGUAGAGUUGGGUACUCUGGAGAGACUGCCGUGGAUAACACGGAGGAAGGUGGGGAUGAUGUCAAAUCAUCAUGCCCCUUACGCCUUGGGCUUCACACGUGCUACAAUGGUCUUUACAAAGUGAAGCGAAGCUGCGAAGCGGAGCGAACCACAAAAAAAGACCCCAGUUCGGAUUGCAGGCUGCAACUCGCCUGCAUGAAGUUGGAAUCGCUAGUAAUCGCGAAUCAGCAUGUCGCGGUGAAUACGUUCCCGGGCCUUGUACACACCGCCCGU
rnacentral:rRNA from 1 species